rnacentral:tRNA from 1 species
ACUUAAGUAGUUUAAAUAAAAUAUCGAUUUGUGAUAUCGGUGAUAUAAUUGUUUAUCUUAGGUC